GUCUGGUUAUGUCUGCCUAAAGGCAUCAAAUCCCUAUUUGAUCUUGGAAGGUAAGCAGGGUCAGUUCUGGUUAGUAUUUAGAUGAGAGACCACCAGUGACUACCAGGUUGUUAUAGGCU
rnacentral:rRNA from 11 species